CAGCGCUCAAUUAAGCUGUUAUGUUUUUUUUUGGUGUUACUAAUUUAUUUUUUCUGAAACAUGUUUUUCUUAGUGUUCAUUCUUAAUCAUCCUUAAUAAUAAGAACCAUACUAACAUGUAUAAUAAGAUCUAUACUAAUAUCUAACUUAAGUAAUAGCUAAGUUUUAUAUGUUUUGUCAUUCAAAGCAUGUAUAUUCUUAGCAUUUUCAUUACAGUAGAUAGUAAUUUUAAACAUUUUGUAAAAACCAUUGUUAAAAAUCGUCAGGAAAAUUCAUCUGAUUUUUCAAAAAAGUCAUUUAAUUUUAUAUAAAUAGUUGGCUACGAACCCUGUUGGAGAAACAUUGUUUUAAUAUGAGUUUUUUUGUUUUACAUUGCAAUGUGUAUCUCAAACAAUAAUAAGAAUUGUUUUGUGUCAGUCCCAGAAAUUGAAUGCGCACCUGCAAAUUUCAUAAUUCAUAAAAAUAUUAUGAAUCCAUUAGCAAAUAAAGUUGUAUCCUUGAAAGAUAUGCUGGUAUUAUUGGCACAAUGGGCAAGCAUUAAAGUGUAACUUGGUGAACUACAAAAUACAUCAAAUUCAGUUAUAAAAAUUUGAGUAUCAAAGGUAUGCUAAUUAUUGUAUUGCCUGAAAGAGUGUCAUUGCCAUUAAAAGCAGUGAAGAAUUCAAGUACUUUGGAAGAAAAAAGACAAGAAAACACUUCAGUAAAUGGCUGUGUAUUUUUGCAAGUUAAUUAUUUGGCACAAAUUGGAGUUAAAGACGAAGGAGAUUGUAUAUGUUAUUUACUAAGAAUAGUUUAUUAAAAUGGCCUAGCUCUAAAAUUAAGUUAUGCAGGGAGAGGAUAAAAAAUUGGAAUAGGAAAAAUGUUGAUUGCAUAUGCUGCUAUUGAAACUGUGAAGUCAAUUAAGCAUGGCUUAUGCAGACAUGUGAUAGAGAUAGCGGAAGAAA